UGGGGAAUCAUGGUCAAUGGGCGAAAGCCUGAACCUGCGACGCCGCGUGAGUGAUGAAGGUCGUAAGAUCGUAAAACUCUUUUCAGGGAUCUUAAAGCCUGUCUGGUAAAAAUAGGCAGGUCUGAGUCUCCCUGGAAGAAGCCCCAGCCAACUACGUGCCAGCAGCUGCGGUAAUACGUAGGGGGCGAGCGGUAUUCGGAACUACUGGUUGCAAAGGGUAUGUAGGCGGCUCUUCAACUCUGUUGUCAAAGUCCAGUGCUCAACGCUGGGUGUGAACGCGAUACUGACGUUCUUGCGGGCUGGAGUAGUGAGCGUCAUUCCCUGUUUAGUGGUAAAAUACGUAGAGAUCGGAGUGAACACCAGCCGCUCAGUCGGCUCACUAGACAGUUUCUGACGCUAAGAUACGAAAGCGUGGGGAGCAAACA
rnacentral:rRNA from 1 species